rnacentral:rRNA from 1 species
AACGUGGGGGCAACCCUGCAAGUAGAGUGGCGAAAGGGUGAGUAAUGCUUGGAUGACCUGCCUUCGAGACGGGGACAACAGUUCGAAAGGACUGCUAAUACCCGAUGGCCCUUUCCGGAUGCGUCCGGAGUGGUAAAUGGUUGAUUCCGCUCGAUGAGGGGUCCAAGUCCUAUCAGCUAGUUGGUGAGGUGACGGCUCACCAAGGCGAUGACGGGUAGCCGGACUGAGAGGUCGACCGGCCACAUGGGAACUGAGACACUGUCCUGACUCCUACGGGAGGCUGCAGUCGAGAAUCUUCUGCAAUGGGCGCAAGCCUGACAGAGCGACGCCGCGUGGAGGACGAAGGCCCUCGGGUUGUAAACUCCUGUCACAUGUUAUGAACCGCAUGGGUUACACCCAUGUCUGACAAAAGCAUGAGAGGAAGUCACGGCUAACUUCGUGCCAGCAGCCGCGGUAAGACGAAGGUGGCUAGCGUUAUUCGGAUUUACUGGGCAUAAAGCGCGCGUAGGCGGCUCGACAAGUCGGAGGUGAAAGCCUGCAGCUCAACUGCGGUGUGCCUCCGAAACUGUCGAGCUUGAGUGCAGGAGGGGUAAUUGGAACUCCAGGUGUAGCGGUGAAAUGCGUAGAUAUCUGGAGGAACACCAGAGGCGAAGGCGAAUUAUUGGACUGCAACUGACGCUGAGGCGCGAAAGCUAGGGGAGCAAACAGGAUUAGAUACCCUGGUAGUCCUAGCUGUAAACGAUGGGCACUAGGCAGUGGGGAUCCGAUGUCCUCACUGUCGAAACAAAUGCGAUAAGUGCCCCGCCU